rnacentral:rRNA from 1 species
CCUACGGGUGGCACCAGUGGGGAAUAUUGCACAAUGGGCGCAAGCCUGAUGCAGCCAUGCCGCGUGUAUGAAGAAGGCCUUCGGGUUGUAAAGUACUUUCAGCGGGGAGGAAGGCGAUAAGGUUAAUAACCUUGUCGAUUGACGUUACCCGCAGAAGAAGCACCGGCUAACUCCGUGCCAGCAGCCGCGGUAAUACGGAGGGUGCAAGCGUUAAUCGGAAUUACUGGGCGUAAAGCGCACGCAGGCGGUCUGUCAAGUCGGAUGUGAAAUCCCCGGGCUCAACCUGGGAACUGCAUUCGAAACUGGCAGGCUAGAGUCUUGUAGAGGGGGGUAGAAUUCCAGGUGUAGCGGUGAAAUGCGUAGAGAUCUGGAGGAAUACCGGUGGCGAAGGCGGCCCCCUGGACAAAGACUGACGCUCAGGUGC